AGCAUACUCCCUCCGUUCUGAAUUACUCGUCGCAGAAAUGGAUGUAUCUAGAACUCUAGAUACAUCCAUUUCUGCGACGAGUAAUUCGGAACGGAGGGAGUAGUAA
rfam:Triticum urartu cultivar G1812 contig365626, whole genome shotgun sequence.